CUGGUGUUCGGGUUGUCAUGCCAAUGGCACUGCCCGGUAGCUAAAUGCGGAAGAGAUAAGUGCUGAAAGCAUCUAAGCACGAAACUUGCCCCGAGAUGAGUUCUCCCUGACUCCUUGAGAGUCCUGAAGGAACGUUGAAGACGACGACGUUGAUAGGCCGGGUGUGUAAGCGCAGCGAUGCGUUGAGCUAACCGGUACUAAUGAACCGUGAGGCUUAACCUU
rnacentral:rRNA from 1 species